rnacentral:rRNA from 1 species
AACGAACGCUGGCGGCAUGCCUAACACAUGCAAGUCGAACGAGACCUUCGGGCUUAGUGGCGCAUGGGUGCGUAAAGCGUGGGAACCUGCCUUUAGGUUCGGCAUAACUCCCCGAAAGGGGUGCUAAUACCGGAUAAUGUAUCCGGACCAAAGGUUUGUCGCCUUUGGAUGGGCUUGGGUUGUCUUGGCUGGUUGGGAGGGUAAAAGCCUACGACGGGAAGGAUCGAUAGCUGGUUAGAGAGGAAGGGCACCGACACUGGGGCUGGGACACGGCCCAGACUCUUGGGGGAGGGGGGAAUGGGGAAUAUAGGAAAACGGGCGGUAGGCUGAACCAGCAAUGCCUGGAAAGUGAUUAAGGCCGGAGGGAUGGAAAGCACGUUUACCCGGUAUGAUAAUGACAUUACCGGGAGAAUAAGCACCGGCUAACUCCGUG